ACCCCCUAUAACAAGGCAACUCUGCAGUGAGGAAUGGAAAUAGCAAUUAAGUAAUUGCUUAAGAAGAAGUAGGAAGAGUAGCCAGUUGGAUUUGCUGAAUAUUACAUCCCACAGACCUAUCUAUAAGGGGCAAUUACUACAGUAAAAGUUGGAAAAAUUACUGCCUUCAUCUGGGGAAAAAAGCCCUAACAGGUAAGUACAGAAGAAAAUAAUCUAUAGAACAAAAAAAUUGCCAGACAGGAUGAAAACCAGCCAGCCAUCUAGUCCAUCAACCAGUCUCGGGCAGUGAUCACUUCAAUUCUUCAGGUGAAGGUUCAAAACUCUCUACAGAAGAUUACUAUUACUAUGCCUAUAAUGUUUCUUCCUAGCUAGUUAAUGGCUAGUUUAUGCUCUGAUGCAUGAGGGUUUAUAUCCAUAUUUUUAAUUUGAACUGUGGACAUUUCUAAACCAUAUGUGUGUAAUCCUUCAAAUCCUGUUUCACGUGUUCUCAAUUAUAUCUUA